GGACUUCUUACAGUAUCUGUGUAUUAAAAUCCAUUACAAAUAAAUAUUUACAUUAAAAUAAAAAGAUUAUAUAUGCAUACUUUGUAGAUCUAAGGAAUGCCUUUGACUCCGUAAGGAGAAAAACCCUCCUUUAUAAUCUUUACGACCUAGGAGUUGUUAAACGUUUUUAUGGUAUUAUCAAACUACAAUAUAUGAACACUCAAUCAGCUAUCAAAGUGGGGAAUCAGCACUCAGACUUUUUCGAAAUAUGGAGAGAGGUGAAACAAGGAGAUUCUUUUAGCCCCUCUUUGUUUAAUCUUUUUAUAAAUGAUAUUGAAAGUGAACUCUCAAAAAAUUAUCCUUUAAAAUUAGUUUCUUCUGAGGUAAAUUUUCUUAUGUUUGCAGAUCAUCUACUUAUACUUUCAGGAAAUAAAGCCC
rnacentral:lncRNA from 1 species